UCUCUUCUACAUUUAUAACUGGAGAUCCUGAACACCAAAGUAAGCCUAAAAGGAAUCUUUGAGGAAAAAAGCCUUGUAGCAAGGAAAGUCAAGAUUCUUGAAGUUAAAGAAAUAUACUUUAAAAUACUGAAAUGUUUAUAAACAUUAACUUUUAUUACAUGCACUGAGCAGUAGUAUUUAAGGUUUUAAAUCAGUGUUUUCUACUUUUACUAUUUUCAGAUUAAAUUUUUAGAUAUAAAGAUAAAAAACUCAAAUAACUCAAAUGAGAUAUCUAUAGCCCUACAACCUAACUGUAUAAUGAGUAGAAAACUGAAUUAAUGCAUUUCUUUGCAAACAGGAAAUUGAGACUAAACACACAGCAGUUAUCUCAUGGCACUGUGACUGAUGGCAUCAGGGCAAAAAUGUGUUACUUUACCCUUUACCUAAGACUGCUGGCAGGUUCUUGUUUUAUAAAGGUACAAAAUAAAUGUAGACAACAUCUACUGAGCUGACUGAUGAUGCCUUUACCUAAACAUCUUUCCUACUGAUUUAUAAUUCCUUUAUUUUCACAUAUACUAAAUUUGUUUAAAUGCAUGUUAAUUCAGAUAAAAAGGCAUUCUGUAUUCCACAUAGAAUAGUGUUAAGAAUUGUGGCUUUUCCGGUGUCACGCUUAGUUCCUGCUGGCCAGCCCCCUGCGACCAUGUUCGUUCCCUGCGGGGAGUCGGCCCCCGACCUUGCCGGCUUCACCCUCCUAAUGCCAGCAGUAUCUGUUGGAAAGGUUGGCCAGCUUGCAAUGGAUCUGAUUAUUUCUACACUGAGUAUGUCUAAGAUUGGUUACUUCUAUACCGAUUGUCUUGUGCCUAUGGUUGGAAACAAUCCAUAUGCGACUGCGGAAGGAAAUUCAACAACUUAGUAUAAAUGCUGAAGUAUAUUCAUUGCCUUCAAGAAAGCUGGUGGCUCUUCAGUUAAGAUCCAUUUUUAUUAAGUAUAAAUCAAAGCCGUUCUGUGAAAAACUGCUUUCCUGGGUGAAAAGCAGCGGCUGUGCCAGAGUCAUUGUUCUUUGGAGCAGCCAUUCAUAUCAGCGCAAUGACCUGCAGCUUCGCAGUACUCCCUUCCGGUACCUACUCACACCUUCCAUGCAAAGAAGUGUUCAAAAUAAAAUAAAGAGCCUUAACUGGCAAGAAAUGGAAAAAAGCCGGUGCAUUCCAGAAAUAGAUGAUUCCGAGUUUUGUAUCCGCAUUCCGGGGGGAGGCAUCACAAAAACGCUCUAUGAUGAAAGCUGUUCUAAAGAAAUCCAAAUGGUAGUUCUGCUGAAAUUUGUUUCAGAAGGGGACAACAUCCCAGAUGCAUUAGGUCUCGUUGAGUACCUUAAUGAGUGGCUUCAGAUAAUCAAACCACUUAGCGAUGACCCCACAGCAUCUACCUCACGGUGGAAAAUACCAAGUUCUUGGCGAUUACUCUUUGGCAGUGGUCUUCCCCCGGCACUUUUUUGAUCUGUUUUCCAUUUUAUACCUUAUACCCAGAACACUUACUACCAACACAACUGUUAAACAUUCUAGACAAAAAAAUCGUAUGAUCCGAGAACGUAUUAGGAAAUUACCUUCACCGUAAAUGUCAAAGGAAAAGAUUAAGGAUCUCUUUGCCAUGCUUUUCAUCAUAUGCAACAAAUGUGAAUUUUGUACAAUAAAAUUUUAUUUCCUAAGUAAAAAAAAAAAAAAAAAAAAA